GUAAAGUAGAAGGAAAAUUUGAAUUAUUUCAGCACCACUUUCUUCAGUGCUACCUUUGAUGUGAAUGAAGUUUCUAUUCGUCAUCAAAAGACCUUCAGGCAAUUAAUAAGAGACAUGAAUGAGAAUGAAAGUGAUGAUAUAAAGCAUGUUAAUAAGUGUAUAAAGGAAACAUGACUCACUGAGAAAAGUAAAUACAGCUCCAUUGACUAAAUUCUAGUGGUAAAACUAACUGAUAAUGAUAAAAGAAGCCCAGAGUCAUAUAACAACAUUUAUUAGGGAAACUGCACAUUCAACUAGUGAUAACAAAAGCAAAAUAUUAACAGAAAAUAUGGGCAAGGAUUAUGGUUUCUGAAUGUUGGAAUUAGAAAAGCUAAAAUGUCCCAUGCAAAACAUUUAUUUCAAAUUAAAAUGUUCUUUAAUAACAAACUAGUUUGCAUUUCAAACAAUUACUGAUAAAGAUUUCUGCAUUAAUAGGCCCUAUAACUCAUUAUAUGAAUUGAUAAAUAUAGUUACACAGUCAAAUAGGAAAAGUUUGUCAUUUUUCCUAUUUUUUAUGCCCUCUAUUUGUUCACAUCAAUGAAUAUAAAGAAAAAUGUAAUGUGUUAAUUUUCUUUCAGACAGGGUGUUACUCUGCCAUCCAGGCUGGAGUGCAGUGGCAUGAUUACAGUUCACUGCAGCCUCAACCUCCUGGGCUCAAAUGAUCCUCCCUUCUCAGCCGCCUGAGUAGCUAUGACUACAGGCAUGCACCACCAUGCCCAGCUAAUUAAAAAAAUUUAUGUAUAUAUAAAUCAUGUCUUAUUAUGUUGCUUGGGUUGGUCUCAAACCUCUGGACUCAAGCAAUGCUCCUGUCUCAGCCUCCCAAAGUGCCAGGAUUACAGGUAUGAGCCACCACACCCAGCCUAAUAUGU
rnacentral:lncRNA from 10 species